GUGCUUCUAACCAAAUGGGACAUCUGCAAUCCAUUAGGGGUGUCCUGAAGAGAGAAAGUGAGAGAAGAGGUCUGGGCAGAAAGCCUGCUCAGCAGAAACACGAGCAUGAGGACAUGUGGACCCUUCUGCCAGGAUCUGAGGACGGCGAGGUUCUAAGACAGGUCACCUUUUCAGGGACUCCCAAGAAAACCACUAGCUUUGAUUAGAAGCUGUGUAACAAAGGCUGUUGCGAAAUACCCACGGCUGUGAAAAUGAUUCGGAGGUGUGUGACUCCUGGAACGGACGUUACGAAGGUCACUCAAUUUUAAUAUACAGGCUCUAUGCCCACGGCUUGCUUCUGGUCUCCCUUUGAAGUCUCAGACUGAGCUUCAGUGACUGGGUCCAAGUUGAGCAUAACAUGUACCUGGGGUGCUCCUUCUGUAAGUUCCUUCAUGAGCCAACAGUGUUUCCCGACACCGUCCUCUGAGGAACGUGGAGGACUCAGGUGAGGCCACCUCAGAAGAUUUCUGACAGAGCCAUGGCUCUCUGCCCACCCCGCAUGUCAGAAGCCUUUCCCUGUCCAGCUCCUCUGGCCUCACAUUCCUCCUGCCAACCGCCCAAGGGCAGUUCCUCCUCCAGCCACAGUGAAGAUACUGUUUUUUUAUGCUCACGACAACAACAAACUGGACACAAACAAGAAAUGGCCAGGCUGAAGCAAAGAAGCACACAGAGGCAAAAAGGGAGAACUGUGAGAACGGGGUAG
ensembl:lncRNA